GGGCACGUCUGCCUGGGUGUCAC
rnacentral:siRNA from 1 species